UACGGAGGGUGCAAGCGUUAUCCGGAUUUACUGGGCGUAAAGGGUGUGUAGGCGGUUUUCUAAGUUUGGUGUGAAAUCUCCCGGCUCAACCGGGAGGGUGCGCCGAAAACUGGGAGACUAGAGUGCGGGAUGGGAGACUGGAAUUCCUGGUGUAGCGGUGAAAUGCGCAGAUAUCAGGAGGAACACCGGUGGCGAAGGCGGGUCUCUGGGCCGUAACUGACGCUGAGACGCGAAAGCGUGGGGGAGCAAACAGG
rnacentral:rRNA from 1 species